AUUGAACGCUGGCGGCAGGCUUAACACAUGCAAGUCGAGCGGGGACUUCGGUCCUAGCGGCGAACGGGUGAGGAAUGCUUGGGAAUCUGCCCAGUAGCGGGGGAUAACGUUUCGAAAGGAACGCUAAUACCGCAUACGCCCUACGGGGGAAAGGGGGGGAUCCUCGGACCUCUCACUAUUGGAUGAGCCCAAGUCGGAUUAGCUAGUUGGUGGGGUAAAGGCCUACCAAGGCGACGAUCCGUAGCUGGUCUGAGAGGAUGAUCAGCCACACUGGAACUGAGACACGGUCCAGAAUCCUAAGGGAGGCAGCAGUGGGGAAUAUUGGACAAUGGGCGAAAGCCUGAUCCAGCCAUGCCGCGUGUGUGAAGAAGGCCUUCGGGUUGUAAAGCACUUUAAGCGAGGAGGAAUGGCUCUUGGUUAAUAACCUUGAGCAGCGACGUUACUCGCAGAAUAAGCACCGGCUAACUCUGUGCCAGCAGCCGCCGUAACAC
rnacentral:rRNA from 1 species